UACAGAGGUCUCAAGCGUUGUUCGGAUUCAUUGGGCGUAAAGGGUGUGUAGGUGGCGCCGUAAGUCGGGUGUGAAAUUUCGGAGCUUAACUCCGAAACUGCAUUCGAUACUGCGGUGCUUGAGGACUGGAGAGGAGACUGGAAUUCAUGGUGUAGCAGUGAAAUGCGUAGAGAUCAUGAGGAAGACCAGUGGCGAAGGCGGGUCUCUGGACAGUUCCAUGACACUGAGACACGGAAGGCCAGGGGAGCAAACGGG
rnacentral:rRNA from 1 species